GUAAAUAUAGUUUAUAAAAAACAUUAGACUGUGAAUCUAACAAUAGGAAGUGAAAUUCCUUAUUUACC
rnacentral:tRNA from 1 species